CUGUGUGCUUCUGAAGCAGCCCCUCUCACAUCUUUCUGUGGGCACAGACCACCUGGGGAUCUUAUUUCAAAUGCACACUCCAACUGAAUGGGUACAGGGUGGGACCCAGGGGUCUGCAUCUCUAUUGAUCUCCCAGGUGAUGCCAAUGCUGAUGGUCCAUGGCUCCCAUUUUGGGGGAGCAAGUCUCCAGAGCUCAUUUUGUGUCCCCUUGUACACAACUCUAUCUCACUGGAUAGGUGAGGGGGGUUUACUUAUCUGUACCCUAUUCAUUUCAGAACUGCUUGAGGGAAGCACCUGUGCCUUCCUGGGCUCUGCACCCCUAGCAAAUAAUGUAGUUUCUGACACAAAGUAGGCCCUCAGGAGAUGUUGCAUUAAGGAAUGAAUUAUGGAAGACAGAGGAAAGGGAAGCAGGCUCAAGUUCCCAGCACCUGGGGAAUUCUAAGCCUGAGGAAGACAAGGUGCACACACAAUAUAUUAAUAAAAGAUAACUUCUAAAGCAAUAUGCCAUAAGCCAGGUGAACGAAAGGCAGAGUGAAUCAAGUAAGCCUGGAAUUAUUCUUGGAGAAGUUUGGGGCACAUGAAUUGGUGAAGAACAGAAGGCAAGUUCAUUUCCAACAGUACGAAUGGCAAAAAAUUCCUUUCUUCUUCUCUCUUUCUGCUCUCCCUCACUUCCUGCCCUUUUUUUCUUCUUUCCUUUUUUCGAUUUCUGACUCAGGUUGACUCCACAGUAUUUCUUUGGCUUUAGCAAAGAAAACUUUGCAUUUGGGCCAUGCUCAUUUCCCUCCUCAGCUUCAUUUACCGUACCACCUACCCGUCCAUCAACUCAUCCACAUUUUCAUCCAUACAUCCAUACAUCCAUUCACCCACCCAUCCACCCCUUCAUCAUCCAUCUGUCCAUCCAUCCAUCCAAUGUGUCUUCUUGCAGGUUUUUCAGGGACCCCUGGCUCCAAUGAGAAUUCUACCCAGAAUGUGUAUAAGAUUCCUCCUACCACCACUAAGGCCUUGCACCCACUCUAUACCAGCCCCAGAACUGUGACCCAAGCUCCACCCAAGUCAACUGCCGAUGUCUCCACUCCUGACUCUGAAAUCAACCUUACAAAUGUGACAGAUAUCAUCAGGUAUGGUUUCCAGGUCCCUGGGCCCCUGGUUUGGACACUGAGCCCUUUGUUUCCCAGUCUGUGUGCUGAGAGGAUGUGAAAGUGAGGGAAAGGGGAGGGUGGGGCAGGAGCAGACUUGAGUCACAUUAGUCUGGGUAGAAAUGUCCAGGGGAAGAAGGAAGUGGUGAUGGAGAAUAGGGGAGGCUCUCAGCCAGGCUGUCCUUCUCCCCAGUUCACCUUCUUUGUUUCCUUGCAACCUGAGUAUUAAAGAGAGGGAAAUGGCAUCUUCCCCAAGUUCCAGUGGAGCUCAUCCAACCCCAGGGGCCUGAUGGGCAGUGGGAAAGCACUCUGAGUGAGGGGCCCUGGAUCUAGUGUUGGCCUGACUAACUGAAUGUGACUUUGGGUGAGUCAGGAACCCUCUCUGGCUUUAGCUUCCUUGACAAUUCAGUAGGCAUGGUAGAAACCCAAAGCUGGAAGACAUUGUCCACCUAAUAACUCUCAGCAGGAGCUGGAGCUGGGGCUAAAUGCAGUAUUGGUUUUUGCCUUAUUGUUUUUUAAAUAAUAUUGUUGCAUGUGCCCAAUUAUAGAUAAAUAGAAUCAGAAUUUUUGCAGAUGAUGUCCCUCUCCGUAUUUUUAAUAAGAUGUUUAGGAGAUUUCUAACGUGUAGGCAAACUUAAGAACCACUAACUUAGCAAUUUCACACCUCUUUACAGUUAUUAAAUGUUGAUUUAUAUUAGAAUGUGUUUAUCAUUAAAUACUGAAUUAUCAGGAUGGAAAUACUUUUCCACAUC
rnacentral:sRNA from 1 species